AACGGAACACAAUAUUCCAGGUGAGGUCUGACUAGUGAGGAGUAUAGAGGAACUACUACUUCUUGUGAUUUGGAAGUAAUAUUCUGUUAAUGCAUCCCAAAAUAGCAUUUACCCUUUUGGUGGCUGCAGCGCAUUGUUGGCUCCUGUUUAGCCCAUGGUCCACGAUUACUCCAAUGUCUUUCCCUUUUGCUGUUCCCUUGAGCU